CGGAGGGUGCAAGCGUUAUCCGGAUUCACUGGGUUUAAAGGGUGCGUAGGUGGGCAAGUAAGUCAGUGGUGAAAUCUCCGGGCUUAACCCGGAAACUGCCAUUGAUACUAUUUGUCUUGAAUACUGUGGAGGUCAGCGGAAUAUGUCAUGUAGCGGUGAAAUGCUUAGAUAUGACAUAGAACACCAAUUGCGAAGGCAGCUGGCUACACAAUUAUUGACACUGAGGCACGAAAGCGUGGGGAUCAAACAGGAUUAGAUACCCUGGUAGUCCACGCCCUAAACUAUGGAUACUCGACAUUUGCGAUAAACUGCAAGUGUCUGAGCGAAAGCAUUAAGUAUCCCACCUGGGAAGUACGAUCGCAAGAUUG
rnacentral:rRNA from 1 species